GACGAACGCUGGCGGCGUGCCUAAUACAUGCAAGUAGAACGCUGAAGGAGGAGCUUGCUUCUCUGGAUGAGUUGCGAACGGGUGAGUAACGCGUAGGUAACCUGCCUGGUAGCGGGGGAUAACUAUUGGAAACGAUAGCUAAUACCGCAUAAUAGUAGAUGUUGCAUGACAUUUGCUUAAAAGGUGCAAUUGCAUCACUACCAGAUGGACCUGCGUUGUAUUAGCUAGUUGGUGGGGUAACGGCUCACCAAGGCGACGAUACAUAGCCGACCUGAGAGGGGGAUCGGCCAAACUGGGACUGAGACAAGGCCCAGACUCCUACGGGAGGCAGCAGUAGGGAAUCUUCGGCAAUGGACGGAAGUCUGACCGAGCAACGCCGCGUGAGUGAAGAAGGUUUUCGGAUCGUAAAGCUCUGUUGUAAGAGAAGAACGAGUGUGAGAGUGGAAAGUUCACACUGUGACGGUAUCUUACCAGAAAGGGACGGCUAACUACGUG
rnacentral:rRNA from 1 species